rnacentral:lncRNA from 1 species
UGGAUCUCUUUCCUAAACCUGUUGAUUCAAGAAAAUACCAAGCAAGAGGCAUCAAACACUCGUUGAUUCGUAAGAAUACCGAAUGAUUGAAAAAACGGCGCAAAUUUGUACACGAAUUUUAUUAAUCUCAAAAAACUAUUGAAAACUUAAAAAAUAAGAGUAUAAAUAUGCGGCACCAAACCCUAAAGCUCGGGUAAAAAUCGGGUUAAAAGAAAAAAAACUUAUGACAACCCUAAAAAAACAAGCCUAAAAUAUUAAACGGGCCAAAAAUCAUAUUUAGAAGUAUUUUUUCGUGUUUUUAUGAGCCGAAAAAUGAUUACAUAUUUUUCAAGUAUUCGUAUCGUCGAGAGCUUUCCAACAAUAUAUUAUAAUAGAAAAACGGAGUUACGCAGCAAAAAUUACGACCGAUUAAAGUUUAUCGACCACAUGGGCAUAACGACGCCCUCGAGUCUCCAAGUAGUCUUCAGUCUUGCUAUUUGCAUCACUAGGCGGCCUAGCGCCUAGGCGGCCAUUUUUUAGAAUAGUGGUCACCGGUGACAGUAUUCAUUUGAGGUACAUAAUAGUUUUCCUCAAAUGAAUUAAAUUCUUCAACCUCAUUGUAAUAAAUGUAUUUCACAUUGAAAAUAUGAUAACCUAUUUGGUGGUGACAAAGUUGAGUAUUGUUGAAUAUGAAAGUAUGAAACUUUUAGAACACUUGAGAGAGUAGUUUUAUAAUAGAGAUUAGAGAGAUGGAGUGAGAUUGGAGUGAAGAACAAUGGUGGAGAUUAUGAGGUAUUUAUAAAAAAAUUUGGGAGGGUUAAUUGAAUUUUUUUCCCUAAAAACUAGCCAUUAUAUAGCUGUUGAGAGGGUUAAUUUAGUCAAUUAUGUCAAUAUUAUAAUUUUGCCCAUAAAACUAGCUGUUUUAUGGUUGUUGGGAAGGGCAAAAUGGUCUAACAAUUAUAAAAACAUUCAAAACAUUCAAAAAGAUCUAUUGGCGGAGUGGGGGUCGGGCUAAAUUUUCGGUCGGGGGUUGGGCUAGGCUUGGGCUUUUAGGGCUUGAAUUUGAUGAAAAGCCUGAAGCUCGAGCUCGAGCUCGAACUCGACUCGAAAUUGCGCCCGAAUCCCCCCUACGUAGCAGUUCUUUGUGAAUGUUUUUGUAAUUGUUGGACCAUUUUGCCCACCCAACAGCCAUAAAACGGCUAGUUUUGUGGGCAAAAUUAUAAUAUUGACAUAAUUGACCAAAUUAAUCUUCCCAACAGCUAUAUAACGGCUAAUUUUUAAGUUUUUUUUGUCAAUUACCCCCUCCCAAAUUUUAUAAAUACCUCAUAAUCUUUACCAUUGUUCUUCACUUCAAUCUCAUAAUCUCCACCAUUCUUCAUACUUAUUCUUCACUCAAUUCUUUCUCAAUUUAUGAAUUAUAUACUACUAUCUCAAUAUUUUACAAAUCUGAAGAAUAUUUUAAUUUUUUGAAAGUGUUGAAGAAAUUCUUAAUUACUCGAUUGUUUAGAAUUUUUCAAGUGUUGAAUAAGUAUUGCGAAGUGUUGAAUCCCGAUAUUUCAAGCAUUUCGAUCCUCGGACUUGAGAUAUCUUAAUAUCAAAUUUUAUUUAUUAUAUCGUUCGUAUUUAGUAUCAAAAUUUUACUUUUACACAAUUUAGAAAAUUUGAAAGAUGCUGAAUACGAUGAGUUUGAGGUCGAGGGUAAUAAUAAUGUACCUAAAAUGGCCUCUAAUAAAUUCAUUUGCCCCUCCACCGGCACGAUUGGCAUGACCACAUCUACUAGCACUAGUAGGGCAACCUAAGAGAUUAAGAUCAACAGUUUGAAAACAUUAGCGAAGAGUUGAGGUCACUGAAAAUUAAAAAAAAAGUGAUUAAAGUUAUUUGUAAAUACUGCGAAAAAAUAUUUACUAAUUCUAUCCAUAGUUAUCAGAACCGUACCGAAUUGGUCGGUUUAACUGGUUGAAUCGGGAACCGGACUAUGAACCGAUACGAUUCAAUUAAUUUAUUGAAAAUGCAUGUGAAUCAGAUUGAACCGGGUGAACCGGCUGAUUUUUUAAAAAAUUAGUGAACUGACAGGUAUUUAGUGAACCGACGGUUUUUGAAAAAAGUUAAAAACAUAAAAAUUGCACAGAUUAAAACCAUUUAUUUUUUUAAAACUUGUUUUUAUGAUUUUAUGAUUAAAAAAUAUAAAAUCUUUCAAUGAAGUCCGAAGAAGAAAAAGCAAAAAAAAAAAAUGCACUAGCUAAAUAACGCACCGUUUUUCUCUUUCUUACCUUUAGUAUCUCAUCUUUAGAUUUUAUUAUAUUAUAAUUAAAUAUAUCAAGAUACGUAGAUCAAAUUAAUCAAUGUAAAAAGAUAAAAUAAAUUAAAAAAUAAAGAUAAAAAAUAGGAAUGUAUAGGAAGAAAAAGAACAAAAUAAAAGUUCCUACAAAUAAUGCACAUUAUUAUCUCAAUAUUAAACAUUAUUGACAAGCUUUACGUUUUUUAUUUUAAUAUAAAAAUACCAUAAGUAAUACUUUAAAAU